ACGCUCGACACCUACGGGGGCAGCAGUGGGGAAUAUUGCACAAUGGGGGAAACCCUGAUGCAGCGACGCCGCGUGAGCGAAGAAGUAUUUCGGUAUGUAAAGCUCUAUCAGCAGGGAAGAAAAUGACGGUACCUGACUAAGAAGCCCCGGCUAACUACGUGCCAACAGCCGCGGUAAUCUGAGCGGGCUGGCAAGGC
rnacentral:rRNA from 1 species